rnacentral:rRNA from 1 species
UACGUAGGGUGCGAGCGUUAAUCGGAAUUACUGGGCGUAAAGCGUGCGCAGGCGGUUCGUUGUGUCGGCGGUGAAAGCCCCGGGCUCAACCUGGGAAUGGCCGUUGAAACUGGCGAACUGGAGUGUGGCAGAGGGGGAUGGAAUUCCGCGUGUAGCAGUGAAAUGCGUAGAUAUGCGGAGGAACACCGAUGGCGAAGGCAAUCCCCUGGGCCUGCACUGACGCUCAUGCACGAAAGCGUGGGGAGCAAACAGG